rnacentral:rRNA from 1 species
AUUGAACGCUGGCGGCAGGCCUAACACAUGCAAGUCGAACGAGUGGCGGACGGGUGAGUAAUGUUUGGGAAACUGGCUGAUGGAGGGGGAUAACUACGGGAAACGGUAGCUAAUACCGCAUACCAUCAGAUGUGCCCAGGUGGGAUUAGCUAGUUGGUGGGGUAAAGGCUCACCAAGCCGACGAGCCCUAGCUGGUCUGAGAGGAUGACCAGCCACACUGGAACUGAGACACGGUCCAGACUCCUACGGGAGGCAGCAGGGGGGAAUAUUGCACAAUGGGCGCAAGCCUGAUGCAGCCAUGCCGCGUGUAUGAAGAAGGCCUUCGGGUUGUAAAGUACUUUCAGCGGGGAGGCGUUACCCGCAGAAGAAGCACCGGCUAACGCCGUGCCAGCAGCCGCGGUAAUUC